UUUUAAUCACCCAUGUUUUGGCUCACGGUCCUUUGAAUUCGUGGAUAAGAUCUUAUUCUUAUAUAUUCCCAAUCCUCUUCUGAGGUUCCAUCUUUAGACGGCACAUGAAUGUAUGUGGUGGUUUAUUCAAAAUCUCCUAAGAUGGUGUAUGUCUGGUUUUAUGACCCGUAUUCAAUCUGAGAUGGGAAUAUCUAUGCUCACUUAUAUGGCCUGAUGCAUAUUAUCAUUCUAUACAUGUAAAUUCAUAAUGC
rnacentral:lncRNA from 1 species